GUGCCAGCAGCCGCGGUAAUACGAAGGGUGCAAGCGUUACUCGGAAUUACUGGGCGUAAAGCGUGCGUAGGUGGUUUGUUAAGUCUGAUGUGAAAGCCCUGGGCUCAACCUGGGAACGGCAUUGGAAACUGGCUUACUAGAGUGCGGUAGAGGGGUGUGGAAUUCCCGGUGUAGCAGUGAAAUGCGUAGAUAUCGGGAGGAACAUCUGUGGCGAAGGCGACACCCUGGACCAGCACUGACACUGAGGCACGAAAGCGUGGGGAGCAAACAGGAUUAGAAACCCGCGUAGUCC
rnacentral:rRNA from 1 species